rnacentral:rRNA from 1 species
GUGGGGAAUAUUGGACAAUGGGCGCAAGCCUGAUCCAGCCAUGCCGCGUGAGUGAUGAAGGCCUUAGGGUUGUAAAGCUCUUUCAGUAGGGAAGAUAAUGACGGUACCUACAGAAGAAGCCCCGGCUAACUUCGUGCCAGCAGCCGCGGUAAUACGAAGGGGGCUAGCGUUGUUCGGAUUUACUGGGCGUAAAGCGCACGUAGGCGGUUUGUUAAGUCAGGGGUGAAAUCCCGGAGCUCAACUCCGGAACUGCCUUUGAUACUGGCAAGCUAGAGUCCGGAAGAGGUAAGUGGAACUCCUAGUGUAGAGGUGGAAUUCGUAGAUAUUAGGAAGAACACCAGUGGCGAAGGCGGCUUACUGGUCCGGAACUGACGCUGAGGUGCGAAAGCGUGUGGAGCAAACAGGAUUAGAUACCCGUGUAGUCC